AAUAAAGUUAUAAUUGAUAAGGAGACCGUAUAUCUAUAUAAAUAGUUAAAAAAUUUAACCCACAGAUAUAUUUUAGUAUGUAUCUGUGAUUUAACCCGUUUUAAUUUUUAACCUAUUGAACUUUAAUAUGUAAUCGUGUAGUUCAAUGUUUUAUUCUUAUUUAACUGUUGAUAAAAAAUGUAACGUUACAUAAUAUAAUGUAUCUUAAAUACCUAUCUAUUAAAAAUCAAAAUUUACGUUUACCACAAUGUAAAAUUGUUUGUUUUGUAUGUAUAUUUUAGUAUGAUUCUGUAAUUUUUUGGUGUAUAUUUGCACAUUUUUUAGAGCUAUCAAGACUUUAAGGCCGCACUCACACGACGACAGUUUUUUACAUGAAAUAAAUUUCGUUUGUUCGAAAUAUCUUUCAUAACUACUCACACUAGAGGCAUAAAUGUUGUGAAAGUUGUUGCGACGCACAAACAUUCAUAUAUCAACGGAAAUGUAUCGAACUGUACUGACACAAGAUUCACGUUUGUUUACACGAUGCGAACAAAAUAUUUCUGAAGAUGAAGUGAAACAUGUCAACAUAAUAUUACGAUAGUAAUAUAAUAGUUGACGUUCACAGUGUGAAGCACUUUUUGAGUUUAUAAACAUCAAAUACCUUUUUAUAAAUUAUAUAAAAAUGGUUUCAAAAUGUGAACAAAUUGCGGCUGCUAUUAUUGUUAUCCGUUUUUUGAGUAAAAAACAAAAAAGCAGAGAAGUGCGUGGAAACAAAGAUGGAUUCAAAGAAGCAAAUUGUGUGGUUCAUAAUAUGAUGCAUUAUCCCAAGAGCUUAGGAUGAAAGACCCUUCAUAGCUGAGACAUUUUUUUAAGAAUGAUUGCUGAUGAUUUCGAAGAACUAUGUAUCAGAAUUGCACCAAUCGUCUUGAAAAUGGAUACAAAUAAGCAUCAGGCAAGAAGUGUUGGUAAACGAUUAAUGUGAACUCUUUAUUUUUUAGCAAUUGGCUUCAAAUUCUACUGAAGAUUGGAUCAAGAUUAGUGAUAGAUUUAUGCAAAAAUGGAACUUUCCUCGGUAUGUUGAAACUGUUGACGAAAACAUGUUAUGAUACAAGCACUGCUCAGCUCUAAAAGUGAAAUUUAUAGUUAUAAAGACUCAUAGAAUUGUAUUACUGGCAGUUGUUAAUUUUGAUUAAUAGUUUAUAUUAGUAGAUAUCAGUUGCAACAGCAGACACAACAAUACUAUUAAUUUUUUAAGUUCAGAAAUUGCGUCUUAUUUGGAAAAACAAUUACUCGACAUGCCUACUCAAAAAUUACUUGGAUGAAGUAUGCCUACUCCAUACUUAAUACUCGAGGAUUCUGUUUUUGGCUUAAUUAAAUAACGCAGAUUGUGUAAUUUUUGCUAUCACUUGCCUUCAUAAUUAUUUGCAUACUAAGAAAAAUACUAGAUUAUUAAACAUAUCUCAUAGAAGUUUAGAUUAUGAAACUUUAGAUGAUUAAAACUACCAAGUAUACGGAGAAAAUAAGGAAUGCCUAUAACAGUAUAUUGAGUUAAAACAAAAAUGGACCGAAAAUUUUUAGUGAAAAUGUAAAAAGUAAGAAAAGAAUUUAUGAAUUAUUUUAUAUCACAACAUGGGGAAACUUGACUAUAAGCUUAAAAUAUAUAUAUUAUUAUUCUUUAUGAAUUUUUAACUUAAAAUAAUUUGCAAAUUAUUGUGAUUCUGACAAUUUUUUUCAAAAUUCCAACUUCAGAUGUUUAUAAAAUUACUGUGAACUUCUGCUCAACUUUUUUUUUUAAAUUUCCAUUAGGUAAUUAUAACUUAUGAAGAACUUUUUAUUAAAUUUAAGUGUACUACAGAAAUGUAAACAGUAGUUCAUACAUUGACAGUUUAUAGCCAUACAGUUAUUAUAGUUAUUUUGUUAUAAAACUGUUGUUAGGUGAGUGUGGAUUUGCCUAUUUAUAACAUAGGUACAUUAUUACUCAAUUGUUAUAUAUAUUCUUUUUUAUGCAUAACAAUUUCUAAUCUUUAUGAUUUUAAUUAUUUUAAUUGUUUUACAAACAAAUUUAAUUUUAUAUUCUGACGUAUUUAGUAUUUAAUAAAACUCAAAUGAAUAAAUACAUAAUAAUUUCUUCAGGAAUAAAAAUCUAUUUCAACUAGUGACCCAAAAUCGAUUGUCAGGUUUUUAAUUUAAUCAUACAAAAAUACAAAAUAUAAUUAGGUACCUACUUCACUUACUUUACUUUGUCGAAGCGCAGCAAUAUUUCCUUUAUGUUUUCUGCUUUUACUUGGAAAACACUUUGAUUUUGCACCCUUACGCCAAUUUUUAGUUUCACUCAUUUUUACUAUUAUUGCUUGAAAUUAUUAUUUAUAUUUAUCUUUAGAUAAAUGGUCGGUAUCUACUUGUUAAUAUGAAGUUGAUGGUUAGUAAUGAGGGCGGUUGUUUUCCGACCAUAAUCGCUUUCUUACACUUGGCAUUUGCCGGUUAAGUUAACAUCCAAGUGUUCCUAAAUUUAGCCGAUUGAUCGUUGCUCGAAUCGAGUGUCUUUAUUUCAGCACUUCUGCAAUCAACUGGUGGAUAGCCGGAGAGAUUUUCUUUUGUAAGUCCGUUAGGGUCUCUGUUAAAAAGAUUGUCUCUUGGACGUAGUUAACACUAGACAGUAGACACAGAGAUUCAAAUCACGAUUUUUCAUUUUUCGGCGUCGAGACAUUUUAAUUAGAAUGGACUUUAAGUCUGGCCUAUACAAAGUUCGUAGACGAAGAAUAACACAAAUAUUCUGAACGGAGUGAUGAAUGUAUUGAUUUUAUAAUGAUGGAUUUGUGUGUGUGUGCGCCAUAACUUGUCGAAAUAAUGCUUCAAUUUAUAACUUCAGAGGCGGCGUUACUUAACAAGUUGAUAGAGUUAUUCAUCAAUUGUAUAGGUAAACAUCGUAUAGUGUUUAUUUGAUGGUUAUUGUUGAACAUUAACAUUCAACAUAUACUUAGAACUUCGAAGCACCAACAACCAAUAACAUUCAAUUUUUAAUCUUCAUUAGAAAUUUUACAAUGCCUAAAAGAAUAUUAAAAUUAAAUUAUAUUAUA